rnacentral:rRNA from 1 species
UCGCCUGUUUAUCAAAAACAUAGCCUUUAGCCCCACAAGUAUUAAAGGUCCCGCCUGCCCAGUGAAUCUUCAACGGCCGCGGUAUCCUAACCGUGCAAAGGUAGCAUAAUCACUUGUCCCCUAAAUAGGGACUAGAAUGAAUGGCUAAAUGAAGACUGAACUGUCUCUUGCACCCAACCAAUGAAACUGAUCUCCUAGUCCAAAAGCUAGGAUAAACUCAUAAGACGAGAAGACCCUGUGGAGCUUUUAAACCAAGCCCAUUAAACAUGUUCACCUUGGUUUUCAGUUGGGGCGACUUUGGAGUACAAAAAACCCUCCAAUCACGGAACCUCCGCACCAAGAUAGACACAUCAAAUCUAACCCGACCCAGUAGUUUAACAUAAAACAACUGACUAAUGAACCAAGUUACCCCAGGGAUAACAGCGCCAUCCCCUUUUAGAGUCCUUAUCAACAAGGGGGUUUACGACCUCGAUGUUGGAUCAGGACCCCCUAAUAGUGCAACCGCUAUAAAGGUCGUUGUCA